CGAUAACAAAAAGUAAAUAUUUAUUGGCACCUUUCAACGUCAAAUACUGGUGGCAUUCAUAUUCCAUUAUACUGUUAACAGGGAAAACAGACCUUGACUUAAUUCAUUUUGAACGGCAGAUAGCAGAUCCUUACAAACCAGAAGCCUAAUCAGAGGGUCUGUUUGUACUCUAUCCAUCCGGCUCAAAGGGUAUGUGAUGUUGAUUCAUAUUCUGGAUCAUUAGAACUAGCUAUUCUACUCCAGGCUUUGAAGGGCAGUGAAGGCCGUUUUAACCCUCAAGCUACAAGGUCAAUGAGUCCCAACCAGCUAGUCAUCCAUAUUCUCAAUCCCCACAACAUUGAUUACUUCGUGCUGUUCUAAAUUUACCCUGGCUCUAUGAAGUGGGUGGAAAAUCAGUUUCUGGUCAUCAAGUACGCAGCAAGCAAUCAUUUCUAAAUUGGCCGAGUGGGAGAGAGUAGAGUAUGACGGCAGGGUAUCAGCUGUCUCGGAAGCAGAGAGUAGAGUAUGACGGCAGGGUAUCAGCUGUCUCGGAAGCAGAGAGUAGAGUAUGACGGCAGGGUAUCAGCUGUCUCGGAAGCAGAGAGUAGAGUAUGACGGCAGGGUAUCAGCUGUCUCGGAAGCAGAAAAAUUAAAUUAAGACCCGAUUUAGAGUGGUUUAAUAAUUAACAUGACCUUUGUCAAAAAUGAUCAGACGAAUGAAACAAACAUGGUUUUUCAGAACAGCUCGUUUCUGUGGAUCCUAAAUUGUCUUCUGAGUGCAAUUUUAAAGCCUGUGUGUGGGGUUAAAGGGACACUUUGGGAUUUUGACUUUGUCUACUACCCCAAAGUCAGAUGAACUCGUAGAUACCAUUAUUAUCUCUGUGUGAAGUUUGAAGGAAGUUGAUUAACUAGUGCUAGUGUAAAUGCUAACUAGCGUUAGCGCAAUGACUGGAAGCCUAUGGGUAUCUGCUAGCAUGCUAGUAGAUACCCAUAGACUUCCAGUCAUUGCUAGUAGAUACCCAUAGACUUCCAGUCAUUGCGCUAACGCGAGCUAGCAUUGGCUCACUAAACUACCUCUAACUUCCUUCAUACUGGAUGAAGAGACAGGAAAUUGGUAUCCACAAGUUCAAUUGACUCUGUAGAAGUCAAGGGCCUCAUUGCCAAAUCCUGAAAUAUCCCUUUAAAGUAAUGGUCCUCUAUUUUUCUCCUGGACUUUCCAAUUCUGACUGAAGUGAGUUUAAGAGACAGUUGUCUUUGUGCACAGCGAGAGCAGGCCAAUGUGACAUGUGAUGUAAUGAGGCAAGUUUUUAGCCUCUCAAAUUUAGACAUUCCUGUACCAUAUCGUUGUUAUAGCGAUCAGAAUAGGAUGUUAAGUGUCUCAUGAACAAACUGGAGUACAUGUUCACCAGCCCAUCUGUAAUGAGUUUCCUGUGAAUAUCAAAACAUGAUCGAUAUUUCUGUAUUCCAUUUGUCUCAGACACUGUGUAGCCACAUGUUUGUUGUGAAACCCUAUAUUACUUUGUAUUGCAUGUGUGUAUCGUUGUGGUAUUCAGGGAUCCAUUCUAGUACAGUUUGUGGUGUUCAGAGAUCCAUUCUAGUACAGGUUGUGGUGUUCAGAGAUCCAUUCUAGUACAGGUUGUGGUGUUCAGAGUUCCAUUCUAGUACAGGUUGUGGUGUUCAGAGAUCCAUUAUAGUACAGGUUGUGGUGUUCAGAGAUCCAUUCUAGUACAGUUUGUGGUGUUCUGAGAUCCACUCUAGUACAGGUUGUGGUGUUCAGAGAUCCAUUCUAGUACAGUUUGUGGUGUUCAGAGAUCCAUUCUAGUACAGUUUGUGGUGUUCAGAGAUCCAUUCUAGUACAGUUUGUGGUGUUCAGAGAUCCAUUCUAGUACAGGUUGUGGUGUUCAGAGAUCCAUUCUAGUACAGGUUGUGGUGUUCAGAGUUCCAUUCUAGUACAGGUUGUGGUGUUCAGAGUUCCAUUCUAGUACAGGUUGUGGUGUUCAGAGUUCCAUUCUAGUACAUGUUGUGGUGUUCAGAGUUCUAUUCUAGUACAGGUUGUGGUGUUCAGAGUUCCAUUCUUGUACAGUUUGUGGUGUUCAGAGAUCCAUUCUAGUACAGGUUGUGGUGUUCAGAGUUCCAUUCUAGUACAGGUUGUGGUGUUCAGAGAUCCAUUCUAGUACAGUUUGUGGUGUUCAGAGUUCCAUUCUAGUACAGGUUGUGGUGUUCAGAGUUCCAUUCUAGUACAGGUUGUGGUGUUCAGAGUUCCAUUCUAGUACAGGUUGUGGGGAAACUGUGCAUGGUCAAAACAAACUGUGAAAAUUAACUAAGAAAUUGAUAUUCAUUUUGUGAUAACCUGUUCCUUUAAAUGAUAGCAGUGCUCGUUUAAUUGACACCCCUGGUCCUUUAACUGAUAGCACUGUCCCUUUAAAUCAGGGGUGGGCAAACUUUUGGCUCAAGGGCCACACUGAGAUUUCAAAAUUCAACGGAGGGCCGCAUAGAUUUUUUUUAAUCAAUUUUUUUGUCCAAAAAAAUGUGUGGCCCAGAAAA
rnacentral:lncRNA from 1 species